rnacentral:lncRNA from 1 species
UGGAAGGCAACGUAAGUAGGCUACUAUAUAUUACCUAGCCCCAACUCAGUUCUUGAAACUGUAAACUGAUGUUAGGCUUGGUUGGGUGCAAAGCCAUGUGCUGCAUGGACAAGGAGGGGCCUUCAAGAAGUGGCUGAGAAGGUGCUGCAUGAAGAGUCAAGGUGGAGCAAUGAGCAUAGCCACACAGUAUAUCUGGUCCCCUCUGCAAAGUGGUUUAGUGACAAUAGAUCCAAUCCCUUUAGCUGGAAACCGACAACAGAUAGUCUGAACAAAGACAAAAAUAAACAAAACAUGAAGGGAACAAUAUGUUAACCGAUCCAAUUGGGUACAUAUGGGAAUUCAAGAGAGUCAGGGUUUUAGAACCUGAAAAGCCACACUAUUCACAAGCCAUUCAAUGCCUACACACAACAAUUGAAGCUUCCCCUAUGUUGGGCUGCAUAUGGAGAUUAAACCUCACUGAAAGAAAAAAGUAAGUUCUAAAACUUACAAUCAAUUUUUCAAGGUAGACAAAGAUGUGGAUCCAAACAAGGAACAUGGCUUCCAUACAGUGGGAAGGAACCAAGUUGGAUUGAAAAGCAUUGAAGAGUUUGAGAGCUGGGCACGUUUGGUUUCUGUUCGUAGACCACUAUUAAUUCAUACAUUACACCACAAUUAUUAAUUUUCCCUCCGUUUUUUCAGAAGCCAAACACAACUAUAAGAGUGAAAGAAACAAAAAAAUGAAAAGGAAGUCACCUGUUUGUAAGUGGGGUUUGUGAGCCGAUCCAAAAGCUAUAGCUCCUGUUGUUAAUUGUUCAGAAAAUGGUUUCUUAUGAAACAAAUCCAUUGAGACGCCAAUACCAAGAAGAGAGAGAGAGGAAGCUAUAGCACUAUUGCUUGGCUUGAAACCCAACUUAAGUAGAAGUUGGCCUGUUUUCCAAUCUGUGUUUCUUUUAUUCAUCACUGUGUUUGGCUACUGUGAAAACAGAUGAAAGUAGUACAUGGCUUGAAGUACCAUAUAUGAAUUUGUGCCGCUUUGGGAUUGUAUACAUAACUCAUAAAAGCAAACCCUCUUCUGCCUAGAAUUUGAAGAACUGUAAAAAUCAGAUUUUUGAACGAAAAGUGAAUGGGGUUUGCUGAUUUGGCCUCAAUAAGGCCUUCUUUGAAAGCUUAUUCAUGGUGAGCUGCUUUUUUAUGUUGAACUGAUUUUAUCCACAACUCAUUUGGAGGUAAUAAGCAAUAUACUCUCAAGGGAAGAAAAGAAAACAUGGAGAAAACACCUUCUAAAUUCUCAUUGUAUAUGUAUUAUCAAACUAAACUAGUGUGGAUCAUUUUUACAAACAAAAAAAAGAGACUUUGAUUUCUUUAAAAGGCACAUAGUAGUAACUGCUCAUUGCUCUCUCCUUGAUGGAAGUAUGCCGAGGAUGAGCAGUUAUGUGAAGUUAGAGACAUGAUCAGAGCUCUCUCCAAAUCUUUUGCUACACCGUGUUGGAUGAUUGAGAUUGCAUAGUCCAUGAAGAUUGAAUCACAUGGCAAUAUGAUGGGGCCUUCACUUUCUACCCCAAACUCCUCCUCAGACAUUUGUGAAAGCUCUCUGAAGAUCUCAUUACUGAGAUACACCAAAGGAAUCACAAAGCGUCUCCUAUCAGUGUUGUACACAACAAAAUGGCCCUUGUCUGCCACAGCUGAUGUACUACAACAGUCAGCAUCCAAAACCAAAUCUGUUCUUGGAAGAGAAAUUCUCUUCCCCUUCAUGGUAGAGCUUCUUAGCAUUUAUCAUGCUGUCUUACUCUCUAUAUUAUGGACAGAUGGCUUUGAGAAAAAGGAGAAAAAAAAAUUGAAGAGGGAGACAAAAAACACAUGAAGAAAAUGCUUUGAGAAUUCUCACUAUAUUCUAUAUAUUUUAUCAAACUAAAUUCUGUGGAUCAUUUACAAAAUUUAAGUACGAUCUCUUCAGAAGGCACAUAAUAGUAAUGAUUCAUUGUUCUGUUCUUGGUGGAAGUAUGAAGAAGAUGAGCAGCUACUGGAAGCUAUAGACAUGAUCAAAGCUCUCUCCAAAUCUUUUUCAACUCCUCGUUGGAUGAAUGAGAUCACAUAAUCCAUAAAGACUGAAUCACACGGCAAUAUGAUGGGGCCUGCACUUUGUAUCCCAAACUCCUCCUCAGACAUUUGAAAAAGCUCUCUGAAGAUUUCACUAUUAAGAUAAGCCAAGGGAAUUGCAAAGCGUCUUCUGUCAGAGCUGUAAACAACAAAAUGACCCCUAUCAGCCACUGUUGAUGUGCUGCAGCUGUCUGCAUCCACACCCCUGUUGAUUCUCUGUAAUGAAAUCCUCUUCCUUCCUAGGGCUGCUACCUUCUGCCAUUUCCUUGCCAUUCUGAUGAGUUUCUUUGGACUGAUCAUGCUGUCCUAGUCUCAAGUUGGAGGGCGAAUAGUUCAAGCAAGAAUUUUCAGAAAGAAGGGAGAUUUGCAGCUAGAACUCUAGAAAGGUGGUGUUGUGCUGAUUGGAAGGCAAUGCAAGUAGGCUAUUAUAUAUUACCGAGCCCCAACUCAGUCCUUGAAGCAAUAAACUGAUGUUAGGCUUGGUUGGGUGCAAAGCCAUGUGCUGCAUGGACAAGGAGGGGCCUUCAAGAAGUGGCUGAUAAGGUGCUGCAUGAAGAGUCAAGGUGGAGCAUUGAGCAAAGCCACACAGCAUAUCUGGUCCUAUCUACCAAGUGGUUUAGCGACAAUAGAUCCAAUCUGUUUAGCUGGAAAUCGACAACAGAUAGUCUGAACAAAGACAAAAAUAAACAAAUCAUGGAGGGAACAAUAUGUUAACAGAUCCUUUCCUUUCUUAUAUCAAUUGGGUACAUAUGGAAUUUAAGAGGGUCAGGGUUUUAGAACCUGAAAAGCCACAUAAUGCACAAGCCAUUCAGUGCCUACACACAUUGUCUGAAGUUUCCCCUGUGUUGGGCUGGAUAUGAUAUGGAGAUUAAACCUAACUGAAAGAAAAAAGGAAGUUCCACAAAUUUACAAUCUAUUCUUCAAGGUAGAGAAAGACAUAGAUCCAAACAAGGAACAUGGCUGGCAUAUGGUGGGAAGAAACCAAGUGGGAUUUACAAAGCAUGGAAGCUUUUGAGAGCUGAGCAUGUUUUCUUGCUGUUCAUAGACCACUAAUUUAAUUCAUACAUUACACCACAAAUAUUACUUUUCCCCCUGUUUUCUCAGCAGCCAAACACAACUAUAAGAGUAAAAGAAACGAAACAAAAAAAUAAAUAAAAAUGAAAAAAAAAGUCAUCUGUUUGUAAGUGGGGUUUGUGAGUCAAGCCAAGAGCUAUGGAUCCUGUUGUUAAUUGUUCACAAAUUGGUUUCUUAUGAGACAAAUCCAUGGAGACCCUAGAAAACCCAACUUACAAAGAAGUUAGUCUGUUUUCAUAUUUCUGUUUCUUUUAUUCAUCACUGUGUUUGGCUUCUGGGAAAACAGGGGAAAGUAGUACAUGGCCUGUAGUACUCUAUAUGAAUUUGUGCCUCAUUUGGAUAGCAUACACUCGUAAAACAAACUCUCUUCUGCCUAGAAGUUGAGUAAUUGUAAAAUCAGAUUUUAGAACAAGAAGCAAAUGAGGUUUGGUGAUUUGGCCUCAAUAAGGCCUUCUUUGAUAGCUCAUUCACACUGAGCUGCUUUUUAAUGUUUAACAGAUUUUGUCCACCACUCUCUUGGAGGCAAUAAGCAUUAUACUCUCGAGGGAAGACAAAAAAACAUGAAGAAGAUAGCUUAGAAAUUCUCAUUUUAUAAAUAUUGUCAAACAAGACUUGUGUGGAUCAUUUACAAACAAACAAAAAAGAAGGAUGAUUUCUUUAGAAGGCACAUAGUAGUAAUUGCUCAUUGCUCUGUCCUUGAUGGAAGUAUGCAGAGGAUGAGCAGUUACUUGAACCUAUAGACAUGAUCAAAGCUCUCUCCAAAUCUUUUGCUACACCACGUUGGAUGAAUGAGAUUGCAUAGUCCAUAAAGACUGAAUCACAUGGCAAUAUGAUGGGGCCUUCACUUUGUACCCCAAACUCCUCCUCAGACAUUUGCAAAAGCUGUCUGAAGAUUUCAUUGUUGAGAUACACCAAAGGAAUCACAAAGCGUCUCCUAUCAGCACUGUAAACAACAAAAUGGCCCUUAUCUGCCACUGAUGAUGUACUACAACAGUCAGCAUCCAAAACCAUAUCUGUUCUUGGUAGAGAAAUUCUCUUCCUCUUCAUGGCAGCUAUCUUCUGCCACUUCCUUGCCAUCUUGAUGAGUUUCUUGGGAUUGAUCAUGGUUAUUCACUGAGUAACAAGAGAAAACUUUGAACAAGUGAAGAAAGGGGACUUCAAUCUUUGGAAUCUCGAAUGGUAUUGCUGUGUUGUUUGGGAUGCAGAAUGGAAGAAGGUUAGUUAUAUAGUAAUGAGGACUCAGACAGUAGAUAGUUGUAUUUUUCAUUUUGUGGGGAUCCAAUGAAUGCAAAGCCAUGUGCUGGUUGGACCACAAGGCCAUUAAGAGGUAGGCAAGUUUGGUUGUAUUCUGUGAUCAAUGAAUUCAGAAGUUCAUGACAGCAGAUACUUCUCCUUUCAUUUUGCCAAGUUAUCUGCAGACAUAGCAGAAGAUACGUAUUUUUACAUUUUGCUAAGUGAUCUGCAGACACAGUGGUGCCAUUGAGUUUAGGUGUCUGCUCAUUCUAACCACAGAAGUCCAUGUAUUGGCAAAGGCUCAAGAAAACUAUCACAGAUCAAUCUAACAAUCAUAUUAUUUGGGAAAGGUAAGACGAAGCCCUCAAACAUUUAUGACAAAAUGAGUGGUAUUCAUUUAAAAGUUGUCCUUCCAAGCUGAUUGGGGACCACAGUCUGCUUGCCAUUAGAAGCCAUUUCUCUCACCUUCUACAUCAAACGGAUUUUUAUAAUUGCAAUAACAUUUCUGGAGGUCAGUGAAAGUUGGUGAAUACUGCUAUAAUUCAACCCUGGAGCAAAUCUAAUCACAAUAGCAUUGAAAAGAAAAGCAGGGUUUUCCAAGCUAUGUAGGGGUUAUGAGGCUUAACAUGGUUCUAUUGAACUUUGUGGCGAAGGCUGAGCCAGUGUGAAUGAGUUAUUGCUUUAAAAUCCUAUUCUAAAUUGUUCUACAAUCCAUGUUUAUUCAGAUUUCAAUUUUUAAUUGCUAUUGAGUACUCACCAAAACAUUUUUAUGGAGACAACAAAGUUUGAAGAUUUCAGAAGGUCUUGCUUAAUCUGUUUGGCACUGUCACAAAGUUUGAAGAAAACAAAAUGGCCUUUAUUAGCCACUGAUGUACUACGAGUGCCUGCAUCCAUAUCAGUAUUUGUUCUUGGUGAAGAAAUUCUGUUCCUCCCAAGGGCUGCCCUUCUCUGACACUUCCUUUUCAUUUUGAUGAGCUUCUUGGGGCUUAUCAUGCUGUCCUACUCUCUAAAUUAUUGAUGGAUGGGCAUAUUUUGAAAAACACAUGCAUCAUGACCCUGUUUUUUCUCGUUUCAAAUAAGCACAUCAAGGUGCAUACCAAGGAUGAGAUCUCAUCCUACCUCCUUAUAUGGUUUAAGGACACAUCAUAUUCAAUUUAGCUGGAACCAACCUUUUGAAGUCAAUUUUAUAUUUUCAAUAUCAACUUCUUGAUUUCUUUUAACUACAACAACUCAUUGAUGUGGACAAGAAUAGCAUUUCAGAAGCAUCAGUCCUGUUUUUGGGAGAGUUCAUUGCAAUAUAUCUGGUAAUAUUAGACAAGAAUUUACAAUUUUCCCUCAAUAAGAUUCUUCCAUGAAAGCUUAUUUCCAUAACAUAUUCGUAUUGCCAGCAAUUGUUCUAUUUCACUUUCAACACAUUCUUGCUGAUGAGCAGCAGCUUCUCUCUUGUAAUUAAUUGACAGAAAACUGUAAUGAAUUCAUAGCAAUUUUGCAUAAAAAUAUCCUGAAUUAAUCUUACUUUUUCCUCAUAUUUUAGAUGAUGAAUUAUAUCACCAAGAGAAAAAUCAAGUAAAGGCUAUGUCCUAGGAAUAACUGGUUAGAUGGCUGCAACAAUUAUUUUUUUCAUUUUGAGGCAAUACGCAAUAAUUUAAGAGGGAGACAAGAAACACAUGAAGAAAAUGCCUUUGAAUUCUCACUAUAUAUAUUAUCAAACUAAACUUGUGUGGAUCAUUUACAAAAUUUCAGUAUGACCUCUUCAGAAGGCACAUAAUAGUAAUGGUUCAUUGUUCUGUUCUUGAUGGAAGUAUGAAGAAGAUGAGCGGUUACUUGAAGCUAUAGACAUGAUCAAAGCUCUCUCUAAAUCUUUUGCAACUCCUUGUUGGAUGAAUGAAAUCACAUAAUCCAUAAAGACUGAAUCACAUGGCAAUAUGAUGGGGCCUGCACUUUGUAUCCCAAACUCCUCUUCAGACAUUUGGAAAAGCUCUCUGAAGACUUCACUGCCAAGAUAUGCCAAGGGAAUCACAAAGCGUUUUCUGUCAGAGGUGUAAACAACAAAAUGGCCCUUAUCAGCCACUGUUGACGUGCUGCAGCUGUCUGCAUCCACUUCCCUGUUGAUUCUUUGUAACAAAAUCCUCUUCCUUCCAAGGGCCGCUACCUUCUGCCACUUCCUUGCCAUUCUGAUGAGUUUCUUUGGGCUGAUCAUGCUGUCCUAGUCUCAAGUUGGAGGGAGAAUAAUUGAAGCAAGAAUUUUCAGAAAGAAGGGAGAUUUGCAGCUAGAACUCUAGAAAGGUGGUGUUGUGCUGAUUGGAAGUCAAUGCAAGUUGGCUAUUAUAUAUUACUGAGCCCCAAUUCAGUCCCUGAAACUGUAAACUGAUGUUAGGUUUGGUUGGGUGCAAAGCCAUGUGCUGCAUGGACAAGGAGGGGCCUUCAAGAAGUGGCUGAGAAGGUGCUGCAUGAAGAGUCAAGGUGGAGCAAUGAGCAAAGCCACUCAGUAUAUUUGGUCCUAUCUGCCAAGUGGUUUAGUGACAACAAAUCCAAUCCCUUUAGCUGGAAACCGACAACAGAUAGUCUGAACAAAGACGGAAAAAUAAACAAAUCAUGGAGGGAACAAUAUAUUAACUGAUCCUUUGCUUUCUUAUAUCAAUUGGGUACAUAUGGAAUUUAGGAGGGUCAGGGUUUUAGAACCUGAAAAGCCACAUAAUGUACAAGCCACUCAAUGCCUAUACACAGUGACUGAAGUUUCCCCCAUGUUGGGUUGCAUAUGAUAUGGAGAUCAAACUUAACUGAAAGAAAAAAGGAAGUUCUAAAAAUUUACAAUCUAUUUCUCAAGGUAGAGAAAGAUGUAGAUCCAAACAAGGAACAUGGCUUGCACACAGUGGGAAGGAACCAAGUGGGAUUUACAAAGCAUGGAAGAUUUUGAGAUCUGGGCAUGUUUGCUUGCUGUUCAAAGGCCACUAAUUUAAUUCAUACAUGAUACCACAAGUAUUACUUUUCCCCCUGUUUUCUCAGCAGCCAAACACAAUUAUAAGAGUAAAAGAAACAAAAAAAGAAAGAAAGAAAGAAAGAAAGAAAGAAAGGAAGUCACCUGUUUGUAAGUGGGGUUUGUG